UGGGGAAUAUUGCGCAAUGGGGGAAACCCUGACGCAGCGACGCCGUGUGAGGGAAGAAGGCUUUCGGGUCGUAAACCUCUGUCAGGAAGGAAGAACCUCUCAAGGCUGAACAAGCCUUGGGACUGACGGUACUUCCAGAGGAAGCACCGGCUAACUCCGUGACAGCAGCCGCGGUAAUACGGAGGGUGCAAGCGUUAAUCGGAAUCACUUGGCGUAAAGCGCGCGUAGGCCGUCUUUUAAGUCGGACGUGAAAGCCCUCGGCUCAACCGGGGAACUGCGUUUGAUACUGGGGGACUUGAGUCCUGGAGAGGGUGGCGGAAUUCCUGGUGUAGGAGUGAAAUCCGUAGAUAUCCGGAGGAACACCGGUGGCGAAGGCGGCCACCUGGACAGGUACUGACGCUGAGGCGCGAAAGCGUGGGGAGCAAACA
rnacentral:rRNA from 1 species